rnacentral:rRNA from 1 species
AUACGUAGGUGGCAAGCGUUGUCCGGAUUUACUGGGUGUAAAGGGUGCGUAGGCGGCUCUGCAAGUCAGGUGUGAAAACCAUCGGCUUAACUGAUGGACUGCAUUUGAAACUGUGGGGCUUGAGUGGAGUAGAGGCAGACGGAAUUCCCGGUGUAGCGGUGAAAUGCGUAGAGAUCGGGAAGAACACCAGUGGCGAAGGCGGUCUGCUGGGCUCUAACUGACGCUGAGGCACGAAAGCAUGGGUAGCAAACAGGAUUAGAUACCCCGGUAGUCCAUGCCGUAAACGAUGAUUACUAGGUGUGGGGGGUCUGACCCUCUCCGUGCCGGAGUUAACACAAUAAGUAAUCCACCUGGGAAGUACGACCGCAAGGUUGAA